rnacentral:rRNA from 1 species
UACGGAGGGUGCAAGCGUUAUCCGGAUUCACUGGGUUUAAAGGGAGCGUAGGUGGGCUGGUAAGUCAGUGGUGAAAUCUCCGUGCUUAACAUGGAAACUGCCAUUGAUACUAUAGGUCUUGAAUUUUCUGGAGGUAAGCGGAAUAUGUCAUGUAGCGGUGAAAUGCUUAGAUAUGACAUAGAACACCAAUUGCGAAGGCAGCUUGCUACAGGGAUAUUGACACUGAGGCACGAAAGCGUGGGGAUCAAACAGG